UUCAUUCAUUGAUUGAUUUACAUUUUAUUUUGUUUUCAGGCUUUAAUACUUCUGCGACAGUCCUUCAACUCUUAUCACUCAAUUGACAAAUUAAAUUUAAAUUACCAAGCUCGUGCAGAAUCUCUGAACAAACCAGACCUUGUUUCACCAGACGAAUUUUACCGUAACGAACUUCUCGACACUAACUCCAUUUCCUUAUCCACCACUUUCUCCACCAUCGCAACCACCACCAGUGCCACCAUUACCCACAACCUCUUUCAUUAUUUAUGGACCCUUUUUUCUCUCCUCAAAGUCAACCCCUUUGCUAAGCUGACCACUGACGAUUUCUCCGCUCGCACCCCCUCUUGGACGCAUGAGUUUCUUGGCUUCGCCGGCUCUUACUCCUUCCCCUCGUUGUCGGACACUCUCAAAUUAAGGGUUCAAGAGAACGUCAAACGAUAUGCCAGUAAUUAUGCUACUUUGUUUAUUCUCUUCUUUGCCUGCUCCUUUGUUUUACCUGCAGGUCUUGUUGACUCCUACUCAUUUAGCUAUUGUCAUGGAAUAUGCUGCUGGUAGCGAACUCUUUGCCAGAAUAUGCAGUGCUGGUCGGUUUAGUGAAGAUGAGAUUGUAUUAUGGAGCUUGCUUCUUUAAAUUACAUCUUAGGUUCACUUAUCUCUGGUUUAAUUGUAUUGUUGUGAUGCAAAUUGAUUUUCUUAAUGAUUUGUUUGUAAGCAAAACCCUUUUCACAACAGGCAAGGUUUUUCUUCCAGCGGCUAAUAUAUGGCGUCAGCUACUGUCAUGCCAUGGAAAUUUGUCUCAGGGAUCUGAAGUUGGAAAACACACUAUUGGAUGGAAGUCCAACACCAAGUGUUAAAAUAUGUGACUUUGGUUACUCAAGCGUUUUUGUUUUUAGUUGAAUAGCAGCUUUGUUGACCUGAUAAAUGGCACAUAACUCUGCUGCUUUCUUACAACUCUUACCUUUUUUUUUCCCCGAAAGAAAAAAACUCAGUACUAAGGGGUUGUAAGUUAUAAAUUAUAUCUUACAUUAUAGUCCUUAGUUUUAAAUUUCAUUAUUGUUUUUGCUUUACAUCUUGCAAUCAGGAUUAUUGCACUCACAGCCUAAAUCAACUGUUGGAACUCUAGCAUAUAUUGCUCCGGAGUUCCUGUCAUGAAAGGAAUAUGAUGGAAAGGUAUUGAGUUUUUAUUUUUCAUCUGAUUUUGUGUGUUCCAGUAAACACUUGGUUAGCAUUGCUGAUGGAAGUAUGGAGACAUUCAUGCGGAUCAAUAAAUGAUAGGAGCAAUCAAAUGAUAAUAUGAACCUGCAGUUCUAAACUCCUCCAUUUUGCCUGGAUUCGAAAUCCAUGACUUUAGACAAUCCACAAGUGUGUGGAGGCCUAUGCCACUAGACCACAUGGCCAUUGGAAAACAUGAGAAACUACAUGCUUGUCACAUUGGUCUCUUGUUUCUGUGGAUGCUCUUAUUCAAGAGCUCCUAAUGAAUUCGAAUGCAAAAGCAUAUAUAUUAUAAAUCAGAGGCUUUUGUAGUAGUGAUUUCUGCAUUUUGAGCACUUUUAAAUUUCAUCGUAGGCUUUUUAGUUUGUGCGAUUUUAAAAUUUGGGAUAUAUAUUAUGCAUUUCAAGUGCUUAAUUACGUAGGCUGUGAGUGACCUAAACUUUUUCAGUUAAAACAAGACAUAAACUCCGAAUUAUUCAUUUAUUUUAAUCCAAGACUUAAGAUUUGAAGUCAAAAGUUGCAUUUGAUGUUUCUAAGUUAUUGGAUGAAGAUAGAUGAGUGGUUAAGGAUUUCUAUCUCAAUUUAAGUCAAAAACUUGUCUCACCAAGUCAUGUCCCUUGACUGUAUGUCAUAAAACAUGAGACACUGUAUUUAUUUUAUAAUAUUAUAUGUGACCAUAAUUUUACACAGCUUUAUUGCUCUCAAAUUCCCAUUAACAUCUUGUUCUUUAAAUUUUAUCUUAGUAACUCUUUUUAAGUGUAUGUAUUUAUUUGGCUAACAUAUUUUUUCGCGAUAUCAUUUGGUACUGGACUACUGGUUGACUUAUGUGAAGCUUAUCCUUACGGUGGAUUCUCUUUUUCAUUAAUCACUUGCAGGUGAUGUUGCUGCCCUAGGCUGGUGGGAUUUGUUUAUAAAUUUUGGGUAAAAUUUAGCGGUCUUUAUAGCAAUGUUUGAUGA